AAGCCUUAAACCUAUGAGUAAAGAGUGAUGCCCAGAUGCUCACUGCUAAUGUGAGAUGAACUUUUGAGCGGAUAAAGGUUGCCCUAAGGUGACCCUCCUACUUUAUGGGAUGCCUGGGUACUGUAAUCUGCAUU